rnacentral:rRNA from 1 species
UGGUGUAGGUAACUGCUCACCAAGCCGACGAUGGAUAGGGGAACUGAGAGGUUGGUCCCCCACACUGGUACUGAGACACGGACCAGACUCCUACGGGAGGCAGCAGUGAGGAAUCUUGGUCAAUGGACGCAAGUCUGAACCAGCCAUGUCGCGUGAAGGAGGACGGCCCUAAGGGUUGUAAACUUCUUUUGCAGUGGAAUAAAGUUUGCCACGUGUUGGCGAUUUGCAAGUACGCUGCGAAUAAGGAUCGGCUAACUCCGUGCCAGCAGCCGCGGUAAUACGGAGGAUCCGGGCGUUAUCCGGAUUUAUUGGGUUUAAAGGGUGCGCAGGCGGGGAAUUAGGUCGGCGGUGAAAUUUCGGGGCUCAACCUCGACAGUGCCGUUGAAACCGUUUCUCUUGAGUGCGGAUGAGGUAGGCGGAAUUUGUGGUGUAGCGGUGAAAUGCGUAGAUAUCACAAGGAACACCGAUUGCGGAGGCAGCUUACUAAACCGUUACUGACGCUCAUGCACGAAGGCGUGGGGAUCAAACAGGAUUAGAUACCCUGGUAGUCCACGCAGUAAACGAUGAUUACUUGCUGUUUGCGAUACACAGUAAGCGGCGUAGCGAA